rnacentral:rRNA from 1 species
AUUGAACGCUGGCGGCAGGCUUAACACAUGCAAGUCGAGCGGAGAGAGGUAGCUUGCUACUGAUCUUAGCGGCGGACGGGUGAGUAAUGCUUAGGAAUCUGCCUAUUAGUGGGGGACAACAUUUCGAAAGGAAUGCUAAUACCGCAUACGUCCUACGGGAGAAAGCAGGGGAUCUUCGGACCUUGCGCUAAUAGGUGAGCCUAAGUCGGAUUAGCUAGUUGGUGGGGUAAAGGCCUACCAAGGCGACGAUCUGUAGCGGGGCUGAGAGGAUGAUCCGCCACACUGGGACUGAGACACGGCCCAGACUCCUACGGGAGGCAGCAGUGGGGAAUAUUGGACAAUGGGCGCAAGCCUGAUCCAGCCAUGCCGCGUGUGUGAAGAAGGCCUUAUGGUUGUAAAGCACUUUAAGCGAGGAGGAGGCUACUUUAGUUAAUACCUAGGGAUAGUGGACGUUACUCGCAGAAUAAGCACCGGCUAACUCUGUGCCAGCCGCCGCCGUAA